UACGUAGGGUGCAAGCGUUGUCCGGAAUUAUUGGGCGUAAAGAGCUCGUAGGCGGUCUGUCGCGUCGGAUGUGAAAAUCCAGGGCUUAACCCUGGACCUGCAUUCGAUACGGGCAGACUAGAGUUCGGUAGGGGAGACUGGAAUUCCUGGUGUAGCGGUGAAAUGCGCAGAUAUCAGGAGGAACACCGGUGGCGAAGGCGGGUCUCUAGGCCGAUACUGACGCUGAGGAGCGAAAGCGUGGGGAGCGAACAGG
rnacentral:rRNA from 1 species